rnacentral:lncRNA from 1 species
AUGCUCGCUACACUUACUACAACAUUCCCUGCUGGGAUGAUCCGGCCUGGCAGGGAUCAGCUACUGAUCAGCCAAGGGAACUGUUGUCCAGUGCACUGUGUGUUUGGGCGAGCAUCAGUCAGCAUGGAAAUCACAUUUAAACUGGGAAAAAGUGCACAUAUCAGCUUUACCAUUUCAAACUGUUUGUUAUAAAUAAGAUACUUUGUUUACUUGAACAGUAAUAUAUUGUGUGUUUUUUUUUUAUCACCAGUGGAUUUAAUUGUUGAGAUGAAGCGACACUGACUUUAAUCUGAAGGGAAAUCAGGGAAAAAUAAGGGAAUAUCAGGUUAAAUCAGGGGGCGGAGCUUGUGGUUGUUUCACUGUGUAGGCCAUACUGAGAUUAUGUUAAACUGAGAAAUCUGCUCUGAGAAUUUAUGAAGGUUUUAAUGUACAGUUUAUUGUUUCCAUGUGUUUUUUUUAAUGAUUUUCUUAUUCUUCUGUUAAUUAAACUCUUUCAUUAAAUGAACGUGAAUGAAAAAAAAU